rnacentral:lncRNA from 1 species
AUGAAUAAUGUCAGUUAUCUGCAGACCCUGCUCUGCUUGGGAUUCCAGGGCUCUCUGCUACAUGAAAACCUUGAUCUGCAUAAGCAAAUGAGAUGUGGAGAGGUGGAAAUCGUGGCAUCCCCCUUUGCCCUGCGUUGGUCGUUUGGCGCCACCUGCUCUCAUUAUCUUAUGAAGUUCUCAAAGCUACAUCUACUGAUCAUGAUCGCCCCAUCUCUGCCUCACGUCGUCCAAGAGGUUCAUUCAGCGUCGUCGUGGCCCAAAGGAACUCUCGUUUUCUUCCACAAACAGACGGCUUCUCUGGUUCGUCAAUGUUCUUCUCGCAGCCAGACCUUGGGCUCCUCUUUCCGCCCCCUUUCUCAGUCUCCACACCCCAAAAGGCCAUCCCUCCCAAGGACAUCUUUUUUUUUUUUAAAUUUUUUUUUGACAGGCAGAUUUAGACAGUGAGAGAGAGAGACAGAGAGAAAGGUCUUUCUUCCGUUGGUUCACCCCCCAAAUGGCUGCGACAGUCAGCACGCUGCGCCAAUACGAAGCCAGGAGCCAGGUUCUUCCUUCCGGUCUCCCAUGCGGGUGCAGGGCCCAAGCACUUGGGCCAUCCUCCACUGCCUUACCGAGCCACAGCACAGAGCUGGACUGGAAGAGGAGCAACCGGGACAGAAUCCAGAGCCCCAACCAGGACUAGAACCCGGGGUGCCGGCACCGCAGGCAGAGGAUUAGCCUAGUGAGCCGCAGCACCGGCCCCCAAGGACAUCUUGAACUCAGUCAUUUUUCUACAUCUCUUAGCUGUGACCCUAGUUGAUGUCACUGUUCUCUCUCUCUGAACUACUGCCCAAUCCAUCCUCCAGCCCUGUUCCCUUGCAUUCCAAAGCCACAGUAACGUCUAAAAGGCAAAUGGGACUAAUCCGUUCCCUUGUCCCAAGUAUUUCAUUGUCUUCCCAAUGCCCAGUGUGAACUUCCUCCCUGGGCUCCGGCUGUCAUUCUUCCCAUCUGUUUGUUAGCCUCUAGUUGUCCCCCCGCACUUCUCCCAGUGAUCACACAUUUUGUGUUCUCUAAAAAGUAUACCAAGUGGAUGGACGUUCAGGAGAGGCGGAUCCAGGUGGACAACAGGAGUCUCCAGCCCUUCAUCCCAACCGACACUCAGUCUGACCAACUCUCGCACGUGAAAACGCCCUCACCGGAGCUAAGGAGACAGGUGAGAGGUCACAGCACCUGGCUGUCGCACAGAAAUAAGACAAGACACACUGACGAGGAGGGAAGGAUGUGUUCACAUUAUCUGCUUCACCUCUCACCUGCCCCUGACAGCACAGCCUGCACCCCAGUCUGAACCGCCAAAGCACCUGUGCAGUCAGUCUCAGGUGGCCUCAGUGGCCUGGGCUUUGGGCUUGCCUCAGCAGGACCAAGCUUUGGGUUCACUGCCAUGACAGGCCAGUUCCUAAAGUAUCAGGCUCCACUGUGAAGCUACAGCAGUCAAACAGCACGGCCCAGGCUAGAAGCAGACGUACAGAACGAUGGAACAUAACAGAAAGCCCAGAAAUAAGUCCAUGCAUUUAUAGUGACCUGGUUUUUGACAAAGGUGCCAAGAACACACAAUGGGGAAAAGACAGUUUCUUCAAUAAACAGCGUUCAGACUGUUAGACUCUCGGAGUG